CAAUAUAUAUCAUCUUGUUUAGUCUUCAGCUCCCCUUGGUUCAAAUCAUUAAUACUACUUGCUUUUUCCACUUCCUUUUUUAGGACCUGCCUAACAUAACGACCUGGGAAAGACAAGUAGACCACCUAAAGGUUUGUGGGGAGCCAGACUUUUUCUCAUCUGUGCAUAUGACACGUGGGCUGUGAACAUAACAAGCCCUGCUUCCUGUCUGGGGGAGUCACACAGGAACCCAGGGACUAUGUAUAUGAGCUGCCAGACACUCCAAGACACUGAACGCUCAGCCUGAGGCACAACAAAACACACUUGUGCAGGGGAAUCCGUGCCACAUGCCGCUCUCCAGCCUGCUCUGGCUCUUCCUGGCCUCCGUCUUCUCUGGAUCCAGUGUGGCCCAGGAAGUUACUCAAGACCAGCCAGAUGUGUUCAGUCAAGUGGGGGAGGCAGUCACCCUAAACUGUCGCUACGAAAUAGGUUGGAACUGGAUCUACUACAAUCUUUUGUGGUAUAAACAGCCUCCCAGUGGAGAGAUGACUUUCCUUAUUCGUCAGUAUUCUGAUAGCUCAAAUGCAAGGGAUGGCCGCUACUCCGUAAAUUUCCAGAAAGCACAAAAAUCCAUCAGCCUCACCAUUUCAGCCUUACAGCUGAAAGAUUCUGCUACAUACUUCUGUGCUCUCCGAGAUCUCACGGUGCUUGAAGUAAUAGGAAAAGCUGAACAAAAACCCCAGAGCUCAAUAAGAGAGAGCCCCCCUGCUGCAGGACCCAAGCUGAUAUGCACACCUGCAGACCCCAGACAAGAAGUGGUUGUCCUGUGGUUGCUUCAUCUGUGGUCUGGAUAAGAAGAUUUCUUUUUAAAUAAAAAUUCCUUCUAUGUCAUGUGGAGCAGGUGUCCUGAGUA